rnacentral:lncRNA from 10 species
AUUUACUGUGUUUACAUCCAUGAGAAAGACAAACGAGAGGAAAAGCAGAACACAAAACAAGCUACCCACGAGGUACUCCCUUAGUAAUGAUCAGAUGUGAAACAGAACCUCGUCAUAUCUAAAGCCAAAGCUACGAGAUGCCCUCCUGUGUGAUAGUUUCCAUUACCCAUACUGUUGCUAACUUCGGUUUUAUUUAAAACUCACUUUAUACUAGUAAUAUAUAUGCCAAUUCCUCUAUAAUAUAUCACCACAUAGCUGCAUGGUUUUCUUCUCCAACCAUAACACUACUGAAUUAAUGCUGAGAAAGAUAACUGCUUGUGGUCACCCUGUGUUAGGAGCAUUGUGUUGUCAUCAUUUUCUUUCAGGGGGCUCAGUGUGACCCACUGACAGUGUCCAAGUGAAUGUUGCCGUAUGUACACCAAGAUCCGUGCCAUCCUGGUACUUUGGUCUUCCGGUCCUUGCUGAGGAUCACUGUUUUGAGGGAAGGGAGAGUGGAGGGCAUCUCAAAAAGAUCAUUCCUCUCCACGUUAACUGCUGUGUUGGGAGGGAAGCCGUGCAUCUGGUUUCUUUAUUUGGGCUCCACUUUCUUGCUUUCUAAGCACAUCACGAGGCUGUCCUUCGGUCAGCUGAUCACUGUGGCAUGGCCCUUAACUGCUGAAUAAACAGAAUGGAAGUCAAGCAAAAGAAAAGCACAAAUACAGACAGAGGCAUAAUUACAAGGGAACAUUUUCAGUUGAAAACAUUGCUCACCGGGAAAAACUUUACAGAGAAAAGUUUAAGCUAUUUUCAGCAUUCCCUUCAGAAAUAUUUUCUUACAGGGCUGCUACUUCCAUAGUUCAGAAGAAACUAUUAGAGCAGAGGAUUAAGGUUUCAAUUAAUUCCAAAAGACAGCACAAGCGAGGUCCAGCCAACUUCAAAGCGCCUGAUUAUUGAUCAUAGGACAUGAGCGCCAAGCAGAGGAAGAAACAGCUUCACUGCGGGGGCUUCUGGGCUGCAGGAAGCAGUCGGGGUCCAAGCCCUCCUGCUGUCCUCUCCCAACUCUGUCUCAGAAGAGGCUGUUUGAAAACCAGAGUGAAGCCAUCACCUUUGCUGCAUGAGAAUGAAGUUCUGCCUACAACAGGCACUUCCCCACCACCUCCAUUUGCUGCGUUAGGGCAUUUACACUUACGUGUGCCCAUCUACAAAGCAGACAUGGAAAAAAUACACAUCAACUACCACCAUGUGGAGUUUCACUUUUGUCACC